CGUACAAAAUGUCAACUUUUCUCUACCUUCACCUUCAAAUCACCAAACCCCCCUAAAAUCAAACAAAUAAUCAACACCCUACUUCCCUAAAUUAACUCAUAAAUAAGGAAAUACAUAAAGGGGCAAUAGAAAUUUCCAAAAAAAAAAUAUCCAACCCACUUCUCCAAUACUCAAUUAGUCAACAAUCCCAGAAAUUAAAAACAUAAAAUAGCUCAUACCCAACUAGAAAAAAAUUAAGAUAAUAUGACAUUCAAAGUCCCAAAAAAGCAAACACUGUGGAAGGUAAGCUGGAAUCAGAUAAUUCCACUUCAAAAAAAAGUGCAACCCCCAAAAAUGUCUGUUUUCCCAAAGAUAUUGAAAUGUCAAAAAAAGAGUCAAAUAUUGUGACUGUUGACCAGUUCUUGGCUUCUCACAAUAACAAUAACGUAGGGAUGAAGAGAGGAUAUAGUUGAGAAAGCAGGAACUGAAACGACACCGCAAAGACGAGUCUAGCGCUGAUUCAGCAGAACGGAAAUGAUGGCGUAUGGACAAGUUAAGGAGAAAAAUUAUCAUGGGAAGAUAGUCCAAGUUCAAGUGUGUGUAUGUCUCCUGUUGUUUCAAUUCCAGAUAUAUUGCAACAUGGCGUAAAGAUAUACCAUCAAUAUGAUCACUCCAGAUACUAAAAAUUUGACAUGUAAAGUCCAAGUUGUUGAUAAAAAUCGACCAAGGGACAACAAAGAUAAAAUCACAAAAUAUCAAGUCUUAAUUCUGCAAGAUGAAGAGGAGAAUCAAGUUCAGGCCACCAUUUUCAGUACUGAUAUAACAUAUUUUGAAAAAGAAUUUGCUCCUUUCAAGACUUACUUGGUAUAUGUUGCAUAUGUGAAAGUCCAACCUCUUAGAUACGAAAAUUCACUUAACAAAUUCAUUUGGACACUCGACAAAAACACCAUUGUUGAACCAAUUGAAGAGGUCAAACUUCCAGAGGAUCCAUUACCACCACCAACA